GUCCAAUAUUCACUCUCCUUUUAGAUCUUCCAGCACCUGUUGGACAAAAAAAAUCUGGAUCUUUACCUGCUAAAUGCUCUAUUUUUGUCACCAGCAAGUUACUGACUUUUUCUAUUUUCUGUUUUCAACCCAUGCAGGUAGUUUUGGUUGAGACUGUCCUCCCAAGAAAAAUGACAGGAUCAAUCUUUUAUGCAAGUGUCCCAAAAUACAUUAUAUAGAUAUAUUUAUGUUCAACUGACAGACAGAAUCCUGUAACCAAUAAAAUAAUAAAAAUAAAACCAAAACUAUGCAUGGCCAAAUGGCACAAGAGAUAUGUAAGUAAAAAACACAACUUCUUAUUUUGUAAUGUGGGUGAACUAACGUCUGAUUGGCAGUAUUGGUGAUCUGAUCUUGCCAACUACCUUGACAGAAAUGAAACAACCAGAGGCAAAUCCAUCUGGCAGUAUAGAAACCUGAUUCAAACCCUAAACGGGUAGAAUUGGAUAUAUAGAGUUAAUAGUAUUUGUUCCCAGAGUGAAAUCACUGUGAGAGGCAGUAGUGGCAGGCUAGUUUCAUAGUUUUCACAGCUCUUAUAACAAGUCUGACAGCAAAGUCCACCAAAAAUCUAAACAAAUCUUGUUUUUCAUCAUACCUCUCUCUCCUCCUUGCUGUUAGCGUUUUGUGAUUGCGAUGUCUGUAAGCGGUGAAGCCGGUGACAGUGAGAUAUUCGUGGCAGACAGACCUCCUGGGGUGACCAACAGGGAAUUUUUCUCAUUGUUUCACUCCAUUUCCGAGAAUCGCUCACAGUGGAAAUUGUUUACAACCUAAUGUAUGAUAGAUUAUGCAAUAUCUCCCCUGAAAUGCAGUGGGAAUAUUAAGUUGUUUCACUCACCUUGUCAGUUUCGUGUUGCAGGAUGGCUUUACUCCCAGAGGGUUUGAAUAUAAUCAGAACUCAGCAGCAACCUUCAUAGACAUUAAGUGGAUCAUUUCUUUGUAUAAAAACACAGGAAGUCUAUCAGUCUCUCAGUGUAUCCGUUGGUAGUGAAAACACAUAUGUUUGUUGUAUAUGUUGUGCUCUACCAGUGAGGCUGUUCCUCCUAUUUCAUGAUACUUAAUGAGCCAAUACAGAGAGACACAGCCUGAGUUUAGGAAGCUCUGUUCCAAGAAACCAAACCCUGUCUCAAAAAUGUCUUACAGCAUUUGACAAAAAUCAUUGUGAUCACAUCAUUUCCCUGCCUAGCUCUUUUCCCUCCUAAACAACAGACUGCACAAUUUGAGUACACUAAGUGAUAUUUGCAGGGGCACAGAUACAAAAGAAACACAAGACUCAAGAGGCCUUUAUUGUCCAUCCCAUCCAUAUACACGUACACAGUAAGGAUGACAUGUCUCAGGCCAGUGGUGCUACAUUUAGCAUACAAGCAGAGCACACAAGGCAGGCAACAUAAGUCAAAAAUAAUGCAAAGACAAAACAAAAAAGUGCAAAGACAAGACAAAACCUCUGACUGUAUUUACGUUUAUUUAUAAACCUUGACCAGAGGCAUAAAGAUCAACACAAAGACAUCGUGUCUUCAGUAUUGUUUCUGGGAAUUGGGGGGUCUUAAACUAACUGACGAGUCAAUACACUUAACCAUUCACAAAACUCCUCCCCGAGCAGUGAUUGCCCAAUCAUAGCUUAGCAAAUUAAAGCAGCCCCGUCAAGCUUUGGAUUUCUCAACAUGCUGUAACAUUGUCCAUGGGGGCAAUUAAGAGUAAUAAUCUGUAUCUCAGGAGUUUGGCGGGUGUUGUCUUUAGCCGAAAUCAAAAACACAGAGGAGCAGGAGAUAAGGAAUGGAUUCACCAUGUGUUUGUUUGCUCCAACAUAAGCUGCUAAUAUUAGGAUGUCCAGCCAACUAGCUUACUACCUAAAGUAGCAUUAAUUCCAAAGCCAAGGCACUGUUCAAGACUGAAACAACCACAGUGAGGUCAACAAGAUGCUGGAAUAUCAGAGUUCAGGGUGAUGUUAUGUUAAGUUUUCCAAACUCAUUAGUUAGUUCACAUCUGGCUGUAUAAAGCAGCCUUCCUGGGUUUGAAAAUAUGCAUUUGGACAACUGCAUUGCCAUACAAUAAUAGCAAAGUAACUGCAAGCUACAUACACAACACAUUAAAUGUUUACCAUUAUUAUAUACAGCAUCUUCAAGUAUAAUUAAACCCACCUGGGCUGCGGGAGAGCUCGCACCCUCAUCAUAUUUGUGAGCAUCACUCUACCAGCUCAAAUUCUUAUUGACCCUUAUUUGAUCCCAUGGUGAGUAUGACAAGACUUAUUGGACUGAUGGAAUAUUCUGGAAAUUUACAUUAUACUGACUUUAUCAAGACUUGUAAACAUGGUUUACAAGAAUUUUGAGUUUGUAUUUAUUUGGGAAUUGUAGUAACAAAUGUAUAUCUCUAAUACAAGCCUGUUCCAAAUAAAAGCCCAGUUUUCACUGCUCUUGUGGUAAAUAAAAUAUUUUUUGUGAUAUUCAAAUUCAAUUAAAUUCGAUAUUGAUUUGCCUUAAAACUGCCAAAUUUAAAAAUAUUUAGUAUUAAAAAUUAUGUCAGUGUUACUUAGUGUUCAUACCCUCGAGUAACCUAAAAUAUUUAUCAUUGAGACAGCCUUUUAGCAAAAUGUAUGAGAGAAAAGUUGCUGAAAAUAUAAUUGAACAAGGAAGGAAUAAAUAAACUUUGAAAAUUAAUCAAAAUAAUCAGAAGACUUCACUGAUUUCUUUUAAAGAAUUUCUUCAGUAGGUAUAAACGGCCUUGCUAUCUGCACAAAGUUGCUUCCUCACAGUCAGUGUUGCAUUGAAUUACUGACAAAACACACAACAAAUGUGCUGGGUAUUUUGCCAAUCUCCUUUCAAGAUAAUUCACCCUUUAUCUUCUCCUAUCUUAUCUCAUUUUGCACAUAUGGCUCCAGUGGUUAAGAUUUGCGUAUGCACAGUUGUUGCCAGUAUCUGCAUUGUGAUUCAUUACAUCGAGCCAAAAGAGUGAAGAUGGCAGCUGUGUGUGAUUUGUUGAUGUUUUGAAUGGUAUGACUCAGGCUGUCUUGCUGCUUGGCUUGCACUGAAGUUUCCCACCGUACACAUGGCCAUGAAUUAUUCAUUUCUUUAAGUUGUAAUUCUGAACCCUAACCAGCAGGUGGCCUCGUGAAGAGGGUAAGUACUGCACAUGUAUAGAUACACACAUGCUGGCAUGGAACAGACUUUCCCAUUAUGUCAAAUAUUUUGGAGGAGGGUCUUUAAAAUGAGACUCUCUAACUUUUUAGGUAUGCGAGUGCUCUGACCUACAGAAAGCAACAAUAACAUAGGCAGGAAGUAUCAAUAAUGAAUCACAUUUGCACAACACAGCCAUUAAGCCUCCUCAUUUCUGUUCUGUUAACUGCUGACCCCCACUUGUUUGCAGCGAUCAUUAAAUACACUUUCUCUGAAAAAGAUCCCAUUAUGUCUGUGGUGGAACUAUCAGAAGUUUAUUCUCAAAACUAGAUAAUAAAACAUGCACAGGAAUGACAAAGUAGCUGCAGUAGUUAUAUGUGAGCAAAGAGGAAAACACUGUUGUCUUUGGCUGUAAGGAGGAUGUCAAGCUGCCAUGAGCACCCACUCUUGCAGAUUAAUGUGCCAAAUGGCUGAAAAUGAUUUUAGACCGCUAUUGGCUAUCUUGCCACUUUACCCGGAACUGGCUUUAAAUGAAGCAGAAAUAAAGAUGUUUAUGCACAAGGAGAGUUUGGAUGAAAAUCUGUAAAAUUAUAUCAUGCUAGUACUCAUUAGUGUAUUUCCAGGGGUGCCCAGCAGUGUUUUGUAGAUCAAAUCUUCACUGUACCAAAAUGCUAUACCAGACAACAAAAUGACAAUACGCUAUGAAAAUGAAAAGAAAUGUACUUAAAGUUAGAGUCAGCGAUUCUAAUCCAAUACAUUUUUUGUCAAAUUCGGUGCCUCAUGGUCUGCUAGCUCUGUUGUAUGUGUGUGCACUGAAAAAAAAUCUGGUGUUCAUACACAGCACUGGCUCUGUAAAUGGGCAUGUAAACACAGAGGCUCAGAGCGGGCCACACAACACUAUUCCAGCCAAUCAGCAAUAGGCGGCAUUGGUGUUUGUGCACAGGACAGGGGGAAGUCAUUGCAGCUGUCUGUGUGAGGACAUGACAGUCUCCUGUCUCCAGCACCAUGAAUUUGAGGGGCGGAGCUUCUGAAUGAGCAUGAAAGGAGGGGUGUAUUUUUUUGAGUGUUUAGUUCAAAUAUCAACAAUCUUUCUCCAGAAUGACUGACUCUACCUUUAAGUAAUCGGAAUGAACAUUUUGGCACAGAGUCACUUCUAAACCUUCCUGCCACAACAGAUAACACAGACAAAACACACAAAAUAUCAUAGGAAACAGCAUCCUUUAUGUUUUGGUGCCCUAAGCGAACUUUGCAUUGUAUUAAAAACGUCUGUUCUUUAGAUACUGUCCUCUCAAGAAAAAUGACAGGAUCAGUUGAUAAUACAAGUGCCUCAAAAUGACAUAUUUAUGCUAAAGUGACAGAAGCCCCAUAAUUAUGACGGGAGAAAAGGAGGAAACCACAUGAUAUUGUUCUAUAGUGACAAAGUCUGCGUAGGGAUGAGGUGGAUAGAUGGGUCAACAAAACAACAUAAUUUAUCAUGGGAGAUCACUGUUUGUUUAUUUCCAACUGCAAGUUUUUUAAAAACCGUGACCACAAUUCCUAACCCAAUUAUUUUAACCCAAACCAUGAUCUCUUCAUAAAACUAACCAAGUGUUUUUUGUGCCUAAACUUAACCAGACCUUAGCCAUAGCAUUGCUGUAUCAUAAAACAUCAUUAUUUUUUGACAGUGAUUUGUAAUGGUUUUGGAAAGUACAGACAAAUCAUGUUGUCCUCCUUAUUUCUGCUGAUAGGGCUGUCAAAUUAGAAAACAUUUCUAGGUGUUGUUCUGGACCAAUGAUGUACUUUGUCUAGUUUCACUGAGAGGACUUGUUGGUUUUUUAAAAGGUAUACUUAUUAAUGAGUUAUACUAGUUCCUCAGUUUGAAAGUUACUGUCCACUUGUUUAAUGUGUACUCCUGGCCACAAUUCCCCAGGUGAUGCUAAAUGAGGUGUCUGAUAUCACAACACAACACAGAGAAAGUUAAAUGUAGAAACAGACACAUUCUUUCUCUACUAUUCUUCAGUGGUCUUCCUACAGUAUGAUUCCCCUUUGGGUACUUGAGCACCCAUUGAAUUGGAACCUAUGCAGCCUGAGACAAACUACACAGGAAGCUGGACAUACAAGAAGUUCUUGUGCUGGAGAAGAGAGUCCGGUUCACAGCUGGAGCAUAAGUUUUCCUCAGGGCUCACAUGAUAAUACUGUAAAAAUCAGGAGUUAUAUCCAAACAUUCCUUGCUCCCCAGCUGUGAUUAAUGGCGUUGGUGCACAGAAAGUGACCUGCUUUCCAAGGCUGCAAAUUAAGGAGAGACAGUGUACAGCAAAAUGAUUCCUUUCCAAAAUCUCCUGUUACUGUUCGUGAAGUUAUGCAUUCCCACCUCUAUUUUCUCAUAAUAAAAGAUGAACUUCAGUAAGAUGUAUGUAGGUGUGUUCAAGGCAGGAGGAGGCUGCCAGAGCAGAGGCCUCUGGAGCUGCAGGACCACACAGGGCUUUAGACUGAGCUUUCAUCCUUCAAUCCACCAACAGCCACAGAGACAUGGCCCUCUGCCUGGAUGCAAACCGAACGCUAAUCAAUCAAGCUGCUGACUUAUCGCACCAAGACACACUGCAGUCUCUCAGGGUCCAAAGAAAGUGAUGAUUUUGUGUAUUUGCUCUUAACAACGGUAUCUGUGAAUCUGUUUUGUCUGAGAGAUUCCCCUUUGUCUUUCUGUGGACAUUCAAUUGGUAUUUUAAGUAAAACAUCAUUUAAAAUUAA